AUUAUACUCCCUCCAUCCGAAAAUACUUGUCAUCAAAAUGGACAAAAAGGGAUGUAUCUAAAACUAAAAUACAUCUAGAUACAUCUCUUUUAUCCAUUUUGGUGACAAGUAUUUCCAUACGGAGGGAGUAUAUA
rfam:Triticum aestivum genome assembly, contig: Triticum_aestivum_CS42_TGACv1_scaffold_194585_3AL